rnacentral:lncRNA from 1 species
GAGGACAGGUUAGUGGCUGUCAGGAGCAAGGGCGGGAGUGCUGAGAGGAAGGAAGUGGGAGUGAUUAUGAAAAGGCGGCAGCGAGGGACCCUGGUGCUGACGGCACAGUGCUCUCUCUCAUCACGCUGCUGUGAUGUGCUGAUUCGGCUAUGAGCUGAUGCAGAGGAAUUAGCCCUGGUCUCACAGUCCAGUAGAAGAAAGGCAUUACAUCAUAUACUCACCAGGCAAGUUAUAAUUACUUAAUACAGUGAAUGCCAGGAAGAAAUGUUCAGUGGACUGAAAAGUUAGUGUGAGAACACAGGGGUGGAGGGAAGGCAAGAAACGUUCCGUCGGGGGCAAGGGCAAAUGCGAAGCCUUCGGAAAGGAGAAGAGCACAGUUGGUAAACUUGAGCCAAAGAGGAAAACAACUGUGAGAGAAAGCUUUAGAGCCCGCGAAGGAACCUAUUACUCAGGGCCCCGCUGGUCACUUGCGAGACUGUGGUCUGUGUAUUAGGAGAGUUAAGAGGCUUUAAGAGAGUUGAAAAGAGGUCUGUCCUUGCGUGUUUCUGGCGGGGGGGCUGUCUGAAGAGAUCGUUCUCACCAUUGUGAGGCAAGUGGUUGGAUGGAGCUGGAACACACUGAGAGGGACCAGUGAGGAGAUCACUGAAGCAGAGGACGCUGAGACCUGGUCAGGAAGGAAGGGGAAGAGAGUCACGGGGCCAAAACAUGCCUCGGGGCCUACGUGUGGAUUUAUGCUCCGCUUCAGCCGAAUCGGAGGACACCGUACCAGAACUUCAUGCGUUGCUCUUCAGGUUUCUACACCUGAAUGUACACUGAGGACUAGACCUGGAUUCUAGAAAUCCGAUAAAGCCUCCACACAGGUGAGUCUCCCAAAGCAACAGAAAUAAAAGCAAAAAUAAACCAAUGGGAACUAAUCAAACUGACAAGCUUUUGCAUAGCAAAAGAAACCAAAAAGACAACUUAUAGAAUGGAAGAAAAUAAUUUCAAAUGGUGCAACUGACAAAGGCUUAAUCUCCAGAAUAUAUAAGCAACUUAUACAACUCAACAGCAAAAAAGCCAACAACUCAAUGGAAAAAUGGGCAAAAGACCUGAAUAGGGAGUUCCCGUCAUGGCGCAGUGGUUACGAAUCCGACUAGGAACCAUGAGGUUGCGGGUUCGGUCCCUGCCUUUGCUCAGUGGGUAAGGAUCCGGCGUUGCCGUGAGCUGUGGUGUAGGUCGCAGACGCGGCUCGGGUCCCGCGUUGCUGUGGCUCUGGAGUAGGCCGGCGCCUACAGCUCCGAUUCUACCCCUAGCCUGGGAACCUCCAUUAGCUGCAGGAGUGGCCCAAAGAAAUAGCAAAAAUACAGAAAAAGAAAAAAAAAAA